UACAAAAUUCCUCCAAACCAAAGGAGGCUUAAACCUAAAUCGCACACCAGCCGCCGCCACCCUUCCUCUCCGUCGAUUCGGUCAUGCCGCUGCACGUCCCACCGUCGCCCGCGGGGGCCUGCGCCACCCGAAGCUCCCGUCCAGCUCGCAGUGCAGCCCCACCACCAGCAGCCUGAGGUGAAGCCCCGUCGUUAGCUCAUCCGGCGACCGACGCCGCGUCUGCCGAUUCGAUCGCGCCGCUGCGCCUCCACCGCCAGCGGCUCCACGCGGCCACCCGAAGCUCUUGCCCAGCCCGCGGUGCAUCCCGACGUGUCGCCCUGGCGAUGGACGACCCGCCCACCGAUUUGCGCUGCCAAGGAGCCGCACAAACCCCUGCAUCCCGAGGUGCCAGCCAGCCGUCCCUCUUCCACCUUCGGUGAUGGCUCCCUAUUCCCCCUUGUCCUGCCCUCCUUUAAAUCCAACCGUUGCAUCCUCGUCUUCAAUUGAAUCUAUUUACAGAGGGAAAACCCCACAAGAGGCUUCUGAAGCUUGGUCAACACCUACAUGAGGAUUAUGAAAGGUUGAUCCAAGCCAGCUUCAGAAGGAGCUCAAGGCAUACAGGAAGACCGAGGACGAGGGGAUGAACACACUUUUGAACACUACCUCCAUUUCUGUGCAGUUUCUCUCAAGAUGCAAGCUGAAAUGCUGGUGAUCAAGAAGAACAGUCCUGUGAAUGGCAUCAUCAAGCUCAUCGAACAGCAUCACAUCACAAACCAUGUCAUGGGAACAUCUUCCUUCUCACCGUGUGUCCAGAUCAAAUACAGCUUCAUAACAAGGAUUCAUCUAUAAACAUGCACAUCAAAAUUGCCUGCAGACUUCUAUAUAUAUAGGCACUAAGAUGUGAUAAAUCAUGAUGGCACACUAUCAACUUAUAUAAGUUCCUUGAGGGUAAAAGCAAGUAAUGAACAAGGUACUAGCUUUCUAUCCAUUCUUUUCUUUAUUCCGGCGUGAACUAUGUUGUCCUCCCUGAAAUGGUGAAAAAUGUCUAUAUAACCAUGUUAUGCAUGAUUUUGCUGUGUGUAACAUUUCAAGGGCAACUUCUUAGCUCAACUGAUGGCUGGAUGUCCUUUAUUACAAGCGUGCAUGCUCUAACCAUUUGUUCUUUCUUGUCGUGAUGGAAGAUGUAACACCAUUUACUUGCUAGGUCACUUUCUUACAUUUUCUAAACAGAAUCAUUCGAGUUUCAAUUCUAAAUCAGAUUUGCUUACUAAUGGAUAUCAAUAAUUAUGCUAGGUCUGUGAAUAGUUUAGUGGCUUGUAGAUGAACUGAGCGCCUGUAGUAAUUAAAUGGACUAUAGAUGAACUCAGAGCACAUAGUAAAUGGCUGGCAUGAUUUUAUUAUAAAUUGUGUGAAGAUCAUCCUAGCAAUUACUCACACUAGACAAUGCCUAACUAGAGUGCAUCUAUUGAACCAAGAUGCAUGUGCAACCAUAUGGUCUUCGAAAUGGCUUUUUUUACCAAGUGCAUUUCCUGCUAUCACACAUAUGACUUCUGCUACAUGUACAAGUGCAUAUCUGAUUAUUUGAUGGUUGAGGACCUUCAAAUACAAAUCUGUAAAGUUACAAUAAGAACCUUAUUUGUUAUGCCUUGGAACAGAUCCGAGUCAAUGAGUGCAUAAUUUUUCUAUUAAGGCAUGUGAUAAACUAGUUGCUAGCCUGACUUUUGUUGGUGCUUUGUUAAGGAUAUCUUCUGUAACCAAAUUAUUUGUAGUACAUAUUCUAUUUUUAGAUCUUUGGGAUCAAAGGCAACUCACACAUUUGAACAAAUUCUCAUUUCUAAUAUUGCUCAAACAUGUAAGUUCUUUUGCAGCGAAAUGGCACAUCCAGAAGUUGAUACAAGAUGUUUUGAUGGUCGGUUUUGUUCAUAACAUGUUUGACACAUUUUGUGGAUAUGGAAGUUGAUGUCAGCUUGGUGAUCGAAGAGAUUUGGUCUCUUCCUUAAUAUUUUGUAGUAGUCAAGUGAUCGAACAAUUGGGUCUCUUAGGAGCCUAGCCAUCAUAUUUUGUAAUAGACCAUGUCUUGUAUGUCAACUUAUUUACUUAUUGGUUGUAGCUGA